rnacentral:rRNA from 1 species
UACGUAGGGUGCAAGCGUUAAUCGGAAUUACUGGGCGUAAAGCGUGCGCAGGCGGUUUUGUAAGACUGUCGUGAAAUCCCCGGGCUUAACCUGGGAAUGGCAUUUGGGACUGCAAGGCUUGAGUGCGGCAGAGGAGACUGGAAUUCCUGGUGUAGCAGUGAAAUGCGUAGAUAUCAGGAGGAAUACCGAUGGCGAAGGCAGGUCUCUGGGCUGACACUGACGCUCAUGCACGAAAGCGUGGGGAGCAAACAGG